rnacentral:rRNA from 3 species
GCUCAGAUUGAACGCUAGCGGGAUGCCUUACACAUGCAAGUCGAACGGCAGCACGGACUUCGGUCUGGUGGCGAGUGGCGAACGGGUGAGUAAUGUAUCGGAACGUGCCUAGUAGCGGGGGAUAACUACGCGAAAGCGUAGCUAAUACCGCAUACGCCCUACGGGGGAAAGCAGGGGAUCGCAAGACCUUGCACUAUUAGAGCGGCCGAUAUCGGAUUAGCUAGUUGGUGGGGUAACGGCUCACCAAGGCGACGAUCCGUAGCUGGUUUGAGAGGACGACCAGCCACACUGGGACUGAGACACGGCCCAGACUCCUACGGGAGGCAGCAGUGGGGAAUUUUGGACAAUGGGGGAAACCCUGAUCCAGCCAUCCCGCGUGUGCGAUGAAGGCCUUCGGGUUGUAAAGCACUUUUGGCAGGAAAGAAACGUUCCGGGUUAAUACCCCGGGAAACUGACGGUACCUGCAGAAUAAGCACCGGCUAACUACGUGCCAGCAGCCGCGGUAAUACGUAGGGUGCAAGCGUUAAUCGGAAUUACUGGGCGUAAAGCGUGCGCAGGCGGUUCGGAAAGAAAGAUGUGAAAUCCCAGAGCUUAACUUUGGAACUGCAUUUUUAACUACCGAGCUAGAGUGUGUCAGAGGGAGGUGGAAUUCCGCGUGUAGCAGUGAAAUGCGUAGAUAUGCGGAGGAACACCGAUGGCGAAGGCAGCCUCCUGGGAUAACACUGACG